CUGACUUAGGAAUAUUUUCCAAGCUUUAACUUACUGAGCAAGUUACACUUGUUCUUCCUUCAGUACUACCUAUAGGACUUCUGUUGUUCUGGUCUGCAUCAUAAUGAAUGUGGCUGUAUCAGAAGCAGAUGUGCUAUUUUGAUGAGAAACUCAGUCCUAAUACAAAAGAGUUCCUCUCAGUUUGGAUUCUUAGCACUUAGUGUUCAUACAAACUUUAUGUCCUGAGGUUUAGCAGUAGCUCUGCAUUCUUGUAUGUCAAUGAAUGUUUGAGGGAGAAUAGAGAUAGAAUUUCUUCAAUGAGGAUCUUACUUAUCCAUGAUCCAGAAAGGCAGUGUUUCCAGAAAAUGGAAAGAUCUUUCUGCUUUCUUUUAUUGUUCAAGUAUUACGAGGAUAAAAUUUCCCAGAUAUCUUCUACUUAAUUUUUCAACCCACAAUUCAUUUGCUGACUUCAUGAUACCAGUACGUUAAGCAUUAUGUAUGCUGAUAAAAAUAGCUGAACUUACUUGAGAAAUUGGGAGAAAGACUCUGUAAGUGGAUCAGAGGGGAUAACGCUUUCUCUCAUGACUUCUGAGCAUAAUCUUCAGUAGAAAGUGCCACUAUUGAACAGCUAGGCAACAUGUAUGGGUAAGAUCCAAAAAGACGUAAGGGAUUUUGACAGCAGAAGACUUGAUUUUUCUAUUCUCACUCCAGAUGAUGAGGACCACUCUGAUUGCUGUCCUCAACCACAUGAAUGACAGAGACCAAAGAGUCGCUUAAAAGAAAAUUCCCUGCAUUAAGCCUGAAACUUCUAUGUGAGCUGCUGUGAAUCCAGUCAUGGAUGUUUGAUGAAGGACUUCCAUGUAGUGGGAAUUCUUCAACAUACUGUAUCUCUCGAUAGACUUGUCCAGUAAAUAAUCAUCUUCACUACAACAAAUUAUGCAGUAUAUCUAUACUCUCUACUUUAUAA